GGUCCCCAGGGGUUCCUGGAGUCCUCCAGAGGUCUCCAAUGAGGAUUUUGAGGACAACCUCACACAGCAACAUGUUCUCACUCUGCUUUGUCCCCCUGGGAUCGCUCUCAAUAAUGUCUGUUUCUAUUAAAAUCAAUACUACGUCCUUUUUUUUUUUUUUUUUUUUUUCCAGAAAUGGAUGGUUCUCACCAAAUCCCUGUGCAAAGCCCCACGGAAACAACGCCCCCCAGGGCCACCGGGCGUCACCGGGACAACCGCCGGCGGUGCCACCACCAGGACAACCGCCUGUCCCUGCAGUUCUCGCUGUCACCGUGGAACCUGGGCCGUAGCAGCGAACCUUGAAGCCCCGUCAGUGUCCUACAGCUCCUGGACGCUGUCACCCUGGCUGCCCAUGACUGUCCCACACUGUCCCCCCUGCCAUGGUGGCACAGGGCAGCGUGGUGCCAUCCUCAUUGAAGAGCCCUGCCUGCAGCCGGACCCGCUGACACCGGAGCCCUCUGCCGCUGUCACCAUUGUCUGCCACGAGGAUGGGGACGCACAGUGAUGAACUAGGUGCCACCACAGCCAGCGUCAGGUGUCACCGUCAUGCGGAGGGGACAAAAGGACCCCCUGGGGACCUGCCGAAAACUUCACCAUACCUGGGCUUUCAAACGAGUCCUCCUGUAUCGCUUCUCUUACGCCCAGCUCACGAAUGUAAUUCUGAAGGUCUUCCACGGAGGGCCACAGUCC